rnacentral:piRNA from 1 species
GAAACCUCCUGGGAGACCUACAUUACACC